UGGGAUUACAGGUGCCCACCACCACGCCCGGCUAAUUUUUUGUAUUUUUAGUAGAGACUGGGUUUCACCCUGUUAGCCAGGAUGGUCUCGAUCUCCUGACCUCGUGAUCCACCCGCCUUGGCCUCCCAAAGUGUUGGGAUUACAGGAGUGAGCCACCGCGCCCGGCCUAUAUUUUUUAUUUCUAUAGAAUCAGUAGUAAUGUUCCCACUUUUAUUUCUGGUCUUGUAAAUUUUAACCUUCUCUCUUUUUUCGUUAGUCCAUCUAGCUAAAAGUUUGUCAAUUUUGUUGAUCCUUCCAAAGAACCAACUUUUAGUUUCAUUUGUGUUCUCCAUGUUUUUAUAUUCUCUAUUUUGUCUAUCUCUAAUCUUUAUUAUUUCCUUCCUUCUGCUAGCUUUGGCUUUAGUUUGGUCUUCUUUGUGUAUUUCCUUAAGUUAUAAAGUUAGGUAGGUUAUUGAUUUGAAAUCUUAUGUAUUAGUUUCAGCGUUUAUGGCUGUAAGUUUCCCCCUUAGCACUGCUUUUGCUGCAUCUCCUAAGGUUGGUAUGUUGUGUCUUUGCUUCCAUUUGUUCCUAAGUAUUUCCUAAUUUUCUUUGUGAUUUCUUUUUUGAUCCAUUGACUGUUGAAGGGUGUUUUUUUUUAAAAAAGAGUAUAUUGUUUAAUUCCACCAUUUUGUGAAUUUUCCACUUUUACUUCUGUUAUUGAUUUCUAACCUCAUCCCACUGUGGUCAGAGAAGAAACUUUGCGCAGCGUGAUUUUAAAAAAUCUAUUGAGAGUUAAUUUGUGGCCUAACAUAUGGUCUACCCUUGAAAAUAUCCCAUGUACACUUGAGAAGAAUGUAUAUGCUAUUAUUGGCUAGAGUGUUCUGUAUGUCUGUUAGAUCUAGUUGGUUGAUUGUGUUAAGUCCUUUCCUUUCCUUUCCUUUCCUUUCCUUUCCUUUCCUUUCCUUUCCUUUCCUUUCCUUUCCCUUUCCUUUCCCUUUCCUUUCUUUUCCUUUCUUUUCUUUUCUUAGGGUUUCACUCCUGUCACCCAGGCUGGAGUGCAACAGCACAAUCUCGGCUCACUGCAACCUCUGCCUCCCGGGCUCAAGCGAUUCUCCUGUCUCAGCCUCCCAAGUAGCUGGGACUACAGGCAUACACCACUGCGCCUGGCUAAUUUUUGUAUUUUUUAUACAGACAGGGCUUUACCGUGUUGCCCAGAGUGGUCUUGAACUCCUAAGCUCAAGUGAUCUACCCGACUUGGCUUCCCAAAGUGCUGGCAUUACAGGUGUGAGCCACCAUGCCCAGCAAGUCCUUUAUUUCUUUACUUAUCUUCUUAUCUUCUGCCUGGUGGUUCUAUCCAUAUGGGGGCGGGUAUUAUCUCCAACUAUUAUUGUAAAACUAUUUCUCCCU
rnacentral:lncRNA from 1 species